AAGCUUGUUUCCGUGGAAAUCUGUCCCGUGUCACUGUGACGCGGUGACCUUCCGGACCGCAACCGAGUCAGAAAAAUCCGAGACUUCCCGGGACACGUUCCGUCGUCAUCAGUCGGAACCCGACAAGGGCGGGAGAACGGAGGCGGCAUGAAGUGCUCUGCGAUGGAGGCGGCCCAGACUCGGUCCCAGGAAGAGAUUAAAGACAGAGGCCCUGAAACUGCGAAGGGAAGAAGGAGCCUGAUGGACCCACAGCUGCUCCAGCUCCAGCCAACAUCUGCCAAGAACUAUGUGACAGACCCACGUUGGAACUGCUUCGCUGAGCCAUUCCCAAAUUCCUGAUCCACAGAAACUCUACAGAUACUUCCUGCUGUGGUUUGGAUGUUUGAAUCCUCCAAAUCUCAUGUGAAAAUCUGAUCUCCGGCGUUGGAGGCGGGCAGCAGAAAGCGUCUGGGGACAGUCCCCCAUGCCCAGCGGCGAGAGCUGCUGGCUGGAGGAGCCUGGCUGCUUCCUUCCUCUCGCUCGCGCCUCCUCGGAUGUGGGCACCAAGCUUCUCCUACAGCCUGCAGAACCAGGAGCUGAAUAAAGCUCUUCUGUUUAUAAAUUACUCAGGCUCAGAUAUUUCCUUUACAGCGAGGUGAAAUGGACUAAGACACUGUCAUUGUGUUCCGUUUACCUGCAAUAUUCGGAGCAGUAACCUACUGGGGCGAUGGCCUGUUCCCCAAGGCCUGGAUGUGUACAGGCCCUGCCGCCUGGCCUCGUGUGUAACAGCACUCCAUGAUGUUCCCACGAUGACAACACUGCUGAAGGAUGCAUUUCUCAGAGCGUAUCCCCGUUGUUAAGCAAUGCAGGACUAUAUAAUACAGCUACUACAAUAAGUUUUGCCAUGAUGCUUGUUUUGAAAAAUGACUUUAACAAUAUUGAUAAAUUAGGAAACUGAACAUAACACAAUUUCAUAUUUGCUUUUGUGCGAAUGCAGAACACCGUAUCCAGAUGACCUGAGCCACGUAAGAAUACGCAGAACCCCACACACCCUCAAAUAUCGCCUGUGGCCUCAGUUUACUGCCUGUGCUGUGAGCUAUACCCAUCCAGGCCGGUGCUGUGCAUUUCCCUCUGAUUUCAAAUAAUGCAUCUCCCACCAUCUCACAAUGACUCAUCAGCUGUGGCCUGAGGCCCCCUUCCACAAGCAAAUGCCAGGUCUUUUUCAAGAUAAAGGGUCAUAUUUACUGUAGUAGUUAUGUAUUUCUUAAACAUUUAUCAUGUGUAAAACCAUGCUGCCAUUUGUAUUAGUUUUCUAUCUGUUUUUUAUGGACCACUGACAAAGUUUCUGAGUGCUAUGUCUCUAAACCUCUUAUUUCCCAUAAAUUCUGUAGUUUUAAUUGCAUAAUUUUGCAGUGGUACUAUAAAUAAUAUAUCUCUGGUAGUUACCAGGUGAAAAAUACAUGUAUGUGUGUAUAUAUGCCUACAUACACACAUAUAUAUUAGAAAACAAUUGAGAUUUUUUAACAUAAAUCAAAAAAGCUCUUUUUACAUCUUAGAGGUAAAUAUGCCUUUGAAAGUAGUUGUUAAAUGCUUGGGAAGAUUUUUUUUAAAAAUGACUGUCAAUUAUAUUAAAUAAAAGCCAUUCACUAUGCCAAGCUAUAUAUAGAUAUCUCUAUAGUGAGUGAAGAUUUGUCAUUCAUCUUUUAAGAUAAUUAUGCAAAUUGUAUUUAGCCCACACAUCCUGAGUUGGGAAAAUGGUUUUUGUCUCUUUGUCCUCACUUAUAAAUCUUGUGGAACAGGCGUUUCGGGUGGGCCUUUAGGACAGA